UAGGGAAUAUUGCGCAAUGGAGGAAACUCUGACGCAGCGACGCCGCGUGGGUGAUGAAGGCUUUCGGGUCGUAAAGCCCUGUCGGAAGAGAAGAAAAAUACUGUGGCUAACAUCCAUAGUACUUGACGGUACCUUCAGAGGAAGCACCGGCUAACUACGUGCCAGCAGCCGCGGUAAUACGUAGGGUGCUAGCGUUGUUCGGAAUCAUUGGGCGUAAAGCGCGUGUAGGUGGUUAUGUAAGUCGGAUGUGAAAUCCCUGGGCUCAACCGAGGAAGUGCAUUCGAAACUACAUAGCUAGAGGACAGUAGAGGAAGGUGGAAUUCCAAGUGUAGAGGUGAAAUUCGUAGAUAUUUGGAGGAAUACCGGUGGCGAAGGCGGCCUUCUGGGCUGGCCCUGACACUGAGACGCGAAAGCGUGGGUAGCAAACAGGAUUAGAUACCCUAGUAGUCCCUGAGCGGGCUGGCAAGGCGCAU
rnacentral:rRNA from 1 species